CCUUAGAGUUUGAUCCUGGCUCAGGAUGAACGCUAGCGACAGGCCUAACACAUGCAAGUCGAGGGGCAUCGGGGCGAGGAGCAAUCCUUGCCGCCGGCGACCGGCGCACGGGUGAGUAACGCGUAUGCGACCUGCCCGUUGCAGGGGGAUAAUCGGGAGAAAUCCCGUCUAAUACCGCGUAAUGCCGCGGGGCUGCAUGGCCCUGCGGCCAAAGGAAGCGAUUCCGGCAACGGAUGGGCAUGCGUGACAUUAGCUAGUUGGCGGGGCAACGGCCCACCAAGGCGACGAUGUCUAGGGGUUCUGAGAGGAAGGUCCCCCACACUGGUACUGAGACACGGACCAGACUCCUACGGGAGGCAGCAGUGAGGAAUAUUGGUCAAUGGGCGCGAGCCUGAACCAGCCAAGUCGCGUGAGAGAUGACGGCCCUACGGGUUGUAAACCUCUUUUGUCGGGGAGCAAAUUCCGCCACGCGUGGCGGAGUCGAGAGUACCCGAAGAAAAAGCAUCGGCUAACUCCGUGCCAGCAGCCGCGGUAAUACGGAGGAUGCGAGCGUUAUCCGGAUUUAUUGGGUUUAAAGGGUGCGUAGGCGGACUGUCAAGUCAGCGGUAAAAUACGGGGGCUCAACCUCCGCCCGCCGUUGAAACUGACGGUCUUGAGUGGGCGAGAAGUAUGCGGAAUUCCCGGUGUAGCGGUGGAAUGCGCAGAUAUCGGGAAGAACACCGAUGGCGAAGGCAGCUCUCUGGGCCGUCACUGACGCUGAGGCGCGAAAGCUGGGGGAGCGAACAGGAUUAGAUACCCUGGUAGUCCCAGCCGUAAACGAUGGACGCUAGGUGUGGGGGGACCUGCCCUCCGUGCCGCAGCCAACGCAUUAAGCGUCCCGCCUGGGGAGUACGGCCGCAAGGCUAAAACUCAAAGGAAUUGACGGGGGCCCGCACAAGCAGCGGAGCAUGUGGCUUAAUUCGAAGCAACGCGAAGAACCUUACCAGGGCUUGACAUGCGAGUGAAGCCGGGGAGACCCGGUGGCCGAGAGGAGCUCGCGCAGGUGGUGCAUGGCUGUCGUCAGCUCGUGUCGUGAGAUGUUGGGUUAAGUCCCGCAACGAGCGCAACCCCCGUCCCGCGUUGCCAGCAUUAGGUUGGGGACUCGCGGGAGACUGCCGGCGUCAAGCCGGAGGAGGGUGGGGACGACGUCAAGUCAUCAUGCCCCUUAUGCCCUGGGCUGCACACGUGCUACAAUGGCCGGUACAGAGGGUUGCCACCCCGCGAGGGGGAGCGGAUCCCGGAAAGCCGGCCCCAGUUCGGAUCGCAGGCUGCAACCCGCCUGCGUGAAGCCGGAGUUGCUAGUAAUCGCGGAUCAGCACGCCGCGGUGAAUACGUACCCGGGCCUUGCACACACCGCCCGUCAAG
rnacentral:rRNA from 1 species